rnacentral:lncRNA from 1 species
UUUUCCUAUCCAUAUUAUAUUCCCAACUCAAUUCUAGGUAAUCCUUUUAGUUUUCUAACAAGCAAACAAAACAAUGAGCACCUUAACACUGAGCGCUACCUUAGGAAGGCUUAACUGACUUCCAGGACUAAGAAAGCAUGGAACAAGUGCCUGUUUCAGUCUCUUAUUUAAGCACUGCAGAUGCGUCGAAACCUAAUAAAAACUGUUCCCUGGCACAUCAACCCUAAUCAGAGAGUAAGAAGCUAAAAAUCUGUGAAUCGCCUACAACCAAAGGGAAGUCUUUUGAGAGCUGCAUUGUUAAAACUCUGAGAACAGGUCAAGAGAUCAGGGUGACCUUUGAGCUAAUGAGGACGCUAGGUGACACCAAGCCCAAACACUCUCUGAGCAAGUGGCUGGUCCUGAGAGGUGACUGAGGUCACACAACUAUAAGAUAUAAGCAGGAACUGAAAAAUCACAUCUCCAGACUCGUCACUUGGUAUGUUUUUUCUUCUUUUGUUAUAUUGCUCCCCAUCCUAGCUUUUCUAUGGCUGGUGGGCCAGCAA